UACAGAGGGUGCGAGCGUUGUUCGGAAUCACUGGGCGUAAAGCGCGCGUAGGCGGCUUCUCAAGUCAGGGGUGAAAUCCUUGGGCUCAACCCAAGAAUUGCCUUUGAAACUGUGGAGCUAGAGUGUCGGAGGGGAUAGCGGAAUUGCUAAUGUAGAGGUGAAAUUCGUAGAUAUUAGCAGGAACACCGGUGGCGAAGGCGGCUAUCUGGACGGCAACUGACGCUGAGGCGCGAAAGCGUGGGGAGCAAACAGG
rnacentral:rRNA from 1 species